rnacentral:rRNA from 1 species
GGACUACAAGGGUUUCUAAUCCCGUUCGAUUCCCACGCUUUCGUGUCUCAGCGUCAGGAGUGUGCCAGUAGAGUGCCUUCGCAUUUGGUGUUCCCCAUGAUAUCAACGGAUUUCACCCCUACACCAUGAGUUCCCUCUACCUCUCACAUCCUCAAAGUCGUGCCGUUUCCUCUGCAUUUUCCGGGUUAAGCCCGAAAGCUUUUACAGAAGACUAACACGACCGCCUACACACCCUUUACGCCCAGUGAUUCCGGAUAAUGCUUGGGGCCUCUGUAUUACCGCGGCUGCUGGCAC